rnacentral:rRNA from 1 species
UAAGGAAUAUUGGUCAAUGGGGGCAACCCUGAACCAGCCAUGCCGCGUGCAGGAAGACGGCCCUACGGGUUGUAAACUGCUUUUAUACGGGAAUAAACCUCUUUACGUGUAAAGAGUUGAAUGUACUGUAAGAAUAAGGAUCGGCUAACUCCGUGCCAGCAGCCGCGGUAAUACGGAGGAUCCAAGCGUUAUCCGGAUUUAUUGGGUUUAAAGGGUGCGUAGGCGGCCUAUUAAGUCAGGGGUGAAAGACGGUGGCUCAACCAUCGCAGUGCCUUUGAUACUGAUGGGCUUGAUUACACUUGAGGUAGGCGGAAUGUGACAAGUAGCGGUGAAAUGCAUAGAUAUGUCACAGAACACCAAUUGCGAAGGCAGCUUACUAAGGUGUUAAUGACGCUGAGGCACGAAAGCGUGGGGAUCAAACA